rnacentral:rRNA from 1 species
AGUUUGAUCCUGGCUCAGAACGAACGCUGGCGGCAUGCCUAACACAUGCAAGUCGAACGAAGGCUUCGGCCUUAGUGGCGCACGGGUGCGUAACGCGUGGGAAUCUGCCCUUGGGUUCGGAAUAAUAGCGGGAAGCUGCUGCUAAUACCGGAUGAUGUCGAUAAGACCAAAGAUUUAUCGCCUGAGGAUGAGCCCGCGUUGGAUUAGGUAGUUGGUGGGGUAAAGGCCUACCAAGCCGACGGUCCAUAGCUGGUCUGAGAGGAUGAUCAGCCACACUGGGACUGAGACACGGCCCAGACUCCUACGGGAGGCAGCAGUGGGGAAUAUUGGACAAUGGGCGAAAGCCUGAUCCAGCAAUGCCGCGUGGGUGAUGAAGGCCUUAGGGUUGUAAAGCUCUUUUACCCGGGAUGAUAAUGACAGUACCGGGAGAAUAAGCCCCGGCUAACUCCGUGCCAGCAGCCGCGGUAA